ensembl:lncRNA
CACACACACACACACACACACACCAUGUCAAAACACAACUGGCUCCAACGCAUUAAGAAUGAAAGAAAUUCCACAGAUGAACCUUUAGCAAGGCACACCUGUUAAUUGAAAUGCAUUCCAGGUGACUACCUCAUGAAGCUGGUUGAGAGAAUGCCAAGCGUGAGUAAAGCAAAUCAAGGCAAAGGGUGUCUAUUUGAAGAAUCUCAAAUAUAUAAUAUAUUUUGAUUUGCUUAACACUUUUUUGGUUACUACAUGAUUCCAUAUGUGUUUUUUCGUAGUUUUGGUGUCUUCACUAUUAUUCUACUAUGUAGAACACAGUAAAAAUAAAGAAAAAACAUGGAAUGAGAAGGUGUUCUAAAACCUUUGACCGGUAUUGUAUUUCCUCCACCAUUAUUAUGAAAAGGGGCCUCUUGCACCCAAAACACAGUUUUCUGGGGACUUGUGGGCAGAGUGCUGAUGAUGUCGCUCACUGCAUGCACUUUCGGUAGCCUGAUUGUGUCCAGACUGAGGAGAAAUCUGCACAUAAUGCAUCCCUGACUCCCUCCUGAAGUGGUCAGCCAGAUCUGAACACAACCAAGCCACAAUGGGACUUUUGUGCAUCUAGACCAGUCUUUUCAAUGCGAUCUUCCUAUUCUGAUAGCAGAAGUCACAUGUAAGUGUCAAGUGUAGACAUGGCCAAAGACAACAUAAUCCACUUGAAGAAUAAAUAGCAUCAAAGGAAGAACAGACAGUUCAGUGUUAGGGAGGUGGGGCCUAGGUGAAAGACAUGUACAUUCAGACGGGACACUGACAGCUCCCUGAAUGACAGCGGCAGAUUGGAAUGAUUGACACACUAUGUACCUCCUUAUUUGUGAUAAUGGCCCAGGUCUUCCAGGUCAGGUCCAGACCCAGCUAAUCGAUCACUGUCUUGUGCCUAUCUCUCUUUAAGCCAUGACCUGUGCCUCCCCUGCCCACCCAUCUUCAGACACCGACCACUCCCAGACAUCGACCCAUGGCGCUGGGCUGAACACGCUGGAAUGAGAUCUCUCCUACAGACACACACGCACAUGUACAAAUGCACAGGCACACACCGUUACCUCAGCAACACCCAAAAGCUGCCUCAAAUACCCACAAAUCAAUAUCCUCCUGCCUCCCAUGAACCUCCACGAGCGCUCCGGAACAAUCAUAAGGCAAGGGUGACAUGCCUUCAACGUCCCCCAGAAAACAAGCAGCUCGUCAGCCUGCGAACCCCAUGGGCUGCCUGUCUACCUGUCAGCGCCCAGUCCGUCUGUCCAACCACGUCAUUCCUUCAAUCUAUCAGCGUCUCCUCAAAUUUACUCCUCUGUCUCAACCACUAGCUCCCUCAACCCCGAUCCAAAGUAGUCACAUUUCCCAACUCAGACUUAAUGAGGUCAUAUUGUGGAAAAUAAACAAACCGGUUGAGGUUCUUGUUUUUUUGUUCAGAUGUGAAACAGCCACUUCGUGUUUUAGCAGCUCCAGCAGUCACAGUCUUUAACGAUUGCACUGUACACACUACAGACAUGAAUAUUCCUCUGCUGGAGCUGAUCACUUCCCUGUUCCCUCCCUGUGUCCAGCCAAUCACGCUGCUGAGUGUUCUAUCUGAGAGAAUAAAUGCCUCCCUCCCUCCCUCCUUCUCUCCCUGUCUGAGGUGAUGUCUGUGGGCUUCCCACCAUCAGAGAGGCAGGUGCCACAUGUCAGACAGACACCGAUAGUGAAUAAAUAUUUCAGAGCUUUCUAGAUAGAUAGCGCCUCGCUGCAGAUGAAGACCAGGUGUAAAACAACAACAACAGAGGGAGAGAGAGAAAGAGAGACGAUUUAAAACCGAUACUUUAGAUCUGCAAUCACUCCAAUGGGAGAACAGAACUCCUUUUAAAAGCCCUUUUAAUCAAUAGAAAUCUUACUGUCCUGUUCAAAUUAAUUCAAUUCAGCACUGCAAUUUGCACUGGGAGACUGCCAUGGCUUGUGUGUGUGUAUGCAUGUGCAUGGGUGUGUGCAUAUCCGUGUGCAUGCGUUUCUGUGUGUGUGUGUGUGUGAUUAGCCCUUGUUACAGGUCUGCUGAGGGAGGUAGUAAUGAGAGACUAGAGUGUGGUCAAUGUGCACUUCUGUCAACAAGACCAUGCUGGCCUACAUGUGUCAGAGGUCAGGGGCUGUGUUAAAAAAGAGUGUUGUGGCUGAGUGGUGUGACUGAGAUAGAGAUGGACCCAGCUGUCUGAACCCAGGGUAACAUGCUGCUCCUUAUGAUGGGCUGUGGAGAGAGGCAGAGGUGAUUACUGCAACCUAUCUAUACAGAACAUACAGCCAGGCAUACAGCUGGUUGGUUGAAAUUACAUCAUGUUAUCUGCUUGAAAUGACGUCAUGUUAUCUGGUUGAAAUGACAUUGUGUUAUCUGGAUGGAAUGAAGUCAGGUUAUCUGGAUGGAAUGAAGUCAGGUUAUCUGGAUGGAAUGAAGUCAUGUUAUCUGGAUGAAAUGAAGUCAUGUUAUCUGGAUGGAAUGACAUUGUGUUAUCUGGAUGGAAUGAAGUCAGGUUAUCUGGAUGGAAUGAAGUCAGGUUAUCUGGAUGGAAUGACAUUGUGUUAUCUGGAUGGAAUGAAGUCAUGUUAUCUGGUUGGAAUGAAGUCAGGUUAUCUGGAUGGAAUGACAUUGUGUUAUCU